rnacentral:rRNA from 1 species
UACGUAGGGUGCGAGCGUUAAUCGGAAUUACUGGGCGUAAAGAGUGUGCAGGCGGUUUGUUAAGUCAGGUGUGAAAUCCCCGGGCUUAACCUGGGAAUGGCGCUUGUUACUGGCAGACUAGAGUGCGUCAGAGGGGAGUGGAAUUCCACGUGUAGCAGUGAAAUGCGUAGAGAUGUGGAGGAACACCGGUGGCGAAGGCAGCCCCCUGGGAUGACACUGACGCUCAUACACGAAAGCGUGGGGAGCAAACAGG